rnacentral:rRNA from 1 species
GCUUGUCUCAAAGAUUAAGCCAUGCAUGUCUAAGUAUAAACUGCUUAUACUGUGAAACUGCGAAUGGCUCAUUAAAUCAGUCAUAAUUUAUUUGAUGGUACCUACUACUCGGAUAACCGUAGUAAUUCUAGAGCUAAUACGUGCGCACAACCCGACUUCUGGAAGGGGUGUAUUUAUUAGAUGGAAACCAAUGCGGGGCAACCCGGAUUCUGGUGAUUCAUAAUAACUUUCGGAUCGAUCCUCGGAUCGAUGCAUCAUUCAAGUUUCUGCCCUAUCAGCUUUGGAUGGUAGGGUAUUGGCCUACCAUGGCUUUAACGGGUAACGGAGAAUUAGGGUUCGAUUCCGGAGAGGGAGCCUGAGAAAUGGCUACCACAUCCAAGGAAGGCAGCAGG